UACGGGGGGAGCAAGCGUUGUUCGGAUUUACUGGGCGUAAAGGGCGCGUAGGCGGUCAGUGCAAGUCAGUUGUGAAAUCUCCGAGCUUAACUCGGAAAGGUCAACUGAUACUGCUCGACUAGAGUGCGGAAGGGGCAACUGGAAUUCUUGGUGUAGCGGUGAAAUGCGUAGAUAUCAAGGAGGAACACCGUGCGGCGAAGGCGGGUUGCUGGGCCGACACUGACGCUGAUGCGCGGAAAGCUAGGGGAGCGAACGGG
rnacentral:rRNA from 1 species